rnacentral:rRNA from 1 species
UGCAAAGCUAGAGUACGGCAGAGGGGGGUGGAAUUCCACGUGUAGCAGUGAAAUGCGUAGAGAUGUGGAGGAACACCAAUGGCGAAGGCAGCCCCCUGGGUCGAUACUGACGCUCAUGCACGAAAGCGUGGGUAGCAAACAGGAUUAGAUACCCUGGUAGUCCACGCCCUAAACGAUGUCAACUAGGUGUUGGGAGGGUAAAACCUUUUAGUACCGUAGCUAACGCGAGAAGUUGACCGCCUGGGGAGUACGGCCGCAAGGUUAAAACUCAAAGGAAUUGACGGGGACCCGCACAAGCGGUGGAUGAUGUGGAUUAAUUCGAUGCAACGCGAAAAACCUUACCUACCCUUGACAUGUCAGGAACUUGCCAGAGAUGGCUUGGUGCCCGAAAGGGAGCCUGAACACAGGUGCUGCAUGGCUGUCGUCAGCUCGUGUCGUGAGAUGUUGGGUUAAGUCCCGCAACGAGCGCAACCCUUGUCGUUAAUUGCCAUCAUUUGGUUGGGCACUUUAACGAGACUGCCGGUGACAAACCGGAGGAAGGUGGGGAUGACGUCAAGUCCUCAUGGCCCUUAUGGGUAGGGCUUCACACGUCAUACAAUGGUCGGUACAAAGGGUCGCCAACCCGCGAGGGGGAGCCAAUCCCAGAAAGCCGAUCGUAGUCCGGAUUGCAGGCUGCAACUCGCCUGCAUGAAGUCGGAAUCGCUAGUAAUCGUGGAUCAGCAUGUCACGGUGAAUACGUUCCCGGGUCUUGCACACACCGCCCGUCA